CUAGAAGAAUUAAAAAGCACAGGUUCGGCUGCGUUUUUUGCUUUUUCACACAGCAGCUUACGAGUGCACUGCCGUAGACGGAGGCGUUUAUGACAGGCAGCAGCACACGGAGGUUAGCGAGUAGAAGAGUGAAGAGGCUUCACAGAUACAGAUUGAUCUGUCCUGCUUGAAAAAACUGGCAGGGUGAUUCACUAAUAGAUUCAGAGGUCUGGCUUUAUACCACACAUCCAAAUGAGUUAAUUAGUCACCACUCAUAGAUUAUAAACUCUUCCCUCUGUCAACCCUCUUAGUUAUUGCUUGUGUGAUCAUUACAUCUAAUUAAUGGGAGCAUCUGGUCUUCAGUUGCCCCUGCGCUGUGUGUCACGUCUCUUCUUCUCGACAAAUAAACAGUCACUCGUAGCCUCAUGAGGAAUAUCUAUAAGCAUUUGCAUUCUGAGGUUGUUUUUAUUUUUCAAUGUAUUUACACAGACAAAUUAAAUUAUGUGGCUUUGGCUCUUCCUCGCCAAGUGCUGAGUUAUGACCCCCCCAACUCAAACCGAGGGGUUUCCCACCCUCAGCAUCAGGAGCUCUAAUCAGCACCAGCUUGCAUUUUCCUGCGUGGGAAGCGGUGCAUGCUCCCCAUUUUGCCCCCUCGCAGUCAAUCAAAGCUCAUUACAAUCACGUCACUGAGGAGUAAAGAGAGAUUUUGUGCUGAGGGUUUAUGUGAACACUGAGGAUAUAAUUUGCUGGUUAUGAGGUUUUUAAUGAUUGUGGGAAUGACGCACAGAGGACAAGUUUUGCUGAGAAUUAGUUGGAGGAUUGAGAGAAUAAGAGUAACUGUAGUGAUAUUUGUGGUUGUUUACUAGUCUGUGUGCACUUUUUUUUUUUAAGCAGUAAAUGAAACAGAAAGCUACAACAUGCGACAUUAGGUAAAGCUUAUUUGCUCCAGAGGGUUAGGCUGAUAUGACCGCUUGCAGCCAGAGCUCAUUCCAAUGAUUUCCUUCUAAUUAAAGUUCCGGGUGGGCUCAGCUUGUAAAGCCAUGUUCAUUUCCCUCUCACCACAGUGGCACUUAAACAGACCCCAUGGAAAGGCCUUAAAGAUAUUCACAGGGAGAACCGGAUAUAUGGAGGAAUAGAGCUAUUACACAAACAUAUAUGGUGGUUUGUGUAAUCAUCAUAGUGGAUACAUGGUCACAUGGAGAAACAGGACAAAGAUGGCUCAAAGAAGGUGCGCGUGCAUGCAUGCGCGCUGGUAGCAUGCAGAAUCACUCAUUGAAAAGAUUAAGGAUAGAAAAAGCACUCGCAUAUACACACAUAAAUUCCGGGUUUAGAUCUUUGAUAACUUUACACUUCAUCAAUUUGCUGAUUGAGUGGUUCUGCCACAUCAUCUUAAUGGCCCUCUCAGUCAUGGGGUUCUGUGUGUGUGUGUGUGUGUGUGUGUGUGUGUGUGUGCAUGCUUAUGCAUUUGUAGCUGUAAUUAUGUUUACCAUUGAUACUUCAUCUUAUAAUUUCAGAUGAAAAUUCAGAAGUUUGCAGACGCUUUGCUCCUCCAAAUUGAAUUAUUUUUUUCUGACAACAUUAACAUUAGCUGGGAAGCUUCAAGUUCAUUUUUUAUCACGGAGCAGGUUUUGUUCAAGAUAAUAGAUCAACAUGUACAAAGUGACCAUAAUUUGGGGCUGUGUGGAUAAUAAGAGGGUCUGUGGAGCUACAGACUGUGUAAAUUGUUUUCCUUUCUAUCAUAAGCAUCAGUUAUUAGAUAGAAACUUUAUUAAGUGCUUCUUCUUUUUUUUCUUCUUCCUUACAAGCUGCAAGCAACUGAAAUAUACAACAAUUAAAUAGCUUUUAUCUAUAGCUACCUAAUCCUAAAUCAAAAGGCACUAAACCUUAAUAGGUCUCUCAUUGGCCUUAUAAAAUAUUUGUAAGACUACUUAAUAGUUAAAAUAAUUUUCUUUACAUCAUUUAACACUGCAACUUAAGCCUAAAACUAUUUUACACACCAGAAGAAUCCAUCUAAAUAACACAUUUAUUUAAUGGAUGCACAGUUUUAAUUAAAGUCAGAUAUAUUCUUAAUGAUGAUGCAGAGAUACUAAGACAUUACGCUUAUGCUUCUGGGCUCUGGCUGCAGCAGCUGUGUUGUUUAUCUUGAAUUAUAUUUUUAAAUUCGUCUUAUUUAUUUUAGUUUUUUUGUUUGAUGGCUUUUCUUGUCACAUAUGUACUGCUCUAGACCUUAAUGGUGAUCUGGUGUGAACGCCAUAGUUUUUAGUAAAUGAAACUGGAGUAGCAGAUGCAGUUGUACCGUGAAGAAAAAAACUCUUAAACCUUAAACUUUUUUCUUUCUUUUUUUUUUUU